GACAGAGGUGCCAAGCGUUAGGCGGAAUCACUGGGCUUAAAGCGUGUGUAGGCGGAAUUGUAAGUACCUUGUGAAGUCCCAUGGCUCAACCAUGGAACUGCUCGGUAUACUGCUUUUCUUGAGCCACUUAGGGGCUACCGGAACAAAUGGUGGAGCGGUGAAAUGCGUAGAUAUCAUUUGGAACGCCAAUGGUGAAAACAGGUAGCUGGGAGUGUGCUGACGCUGAGACACGAAAGCCAGGGGAGCGAACGGG
rnacentral:rRNA from 1 species